AACGGCAGCACGGGGGCAACCCUGGUGGCGAGUGGCGAACGGGUGAGUAAUACAUCGGAACGUGUCCUGUAGUGGGGGAUAGCCCGGCGAAAGCCGGAUUAAUACCGCAUACGAUCUACGGAAGAAAGCGGGGGAUCUUCGGACCUCGCGCUGUAGGGGCGGCCGAUGGCAGAUUAGCUAGUUGGUGGGGUAAAGGCCUACCAAGGCGACGAUCUGUAGCUGGUCUGAGAGGACGACCAGCCACACUGGGACUGAGACACGGCCCAGACUCCUACGGGAGGCAGCAGUGGGGAAUUUUGGACAAUGGGGGCAACCCUGAUCCAGCAAUGCCGCGUGUGUGAAGAAGGCCUUCGGGUUGUAAAGCACUUUUGUCCGGAAAGAAAACUUCGCCGUUAAUACCGGUGGAGGAUGACGGUACCGGAAGAAUAAGCACCGGCUAACUACGUGCCAGCAGCCGCGGUAAUACGUAGGGUGCGAGCGUUAAUCGGAAUUACUGGGCGUAAAGCGUGCGCAGGCGGUCUGUUAAGACCGAUGUGAAAUCCCCGGGCUUAACCUGGGAACUGCAUUGGUGACUGGCAGGCUUUGAGUGUGGCAGAGGGAGGUAGAAUUCCACGUGUAGCAGUGAAAUGCGUAGAGAUGUGGAGGAAUACCGAUGGCGAAGGCAGCCUCCUGGGCCAACACUGACGCUCAUGCACGAAAGCGUGGGGGAGCAAACAGGAUUAGAUACCCUGGUAGUCCACGCCCUAAACGAUGUCAACUAGUUGUUGGGGAUUCAUUUCCUUAGUAACGUAGCUAACGCGUGAAGUUGACCGCCUGGGGGAGUACGGUCGCAAGAUUAAAACUCAAAGGAAUUGACGGGGACCCGCACAAGCGGUGGAUGAUGUGGAUUAAUUC
rnacentral:rRNA from 1 species